rnacentral:lncRNA from 1 species
AUUUAUCUCAUUUAUAAAUUUUUUAGAUCCUACAGCACUCACUAUCUGCUCAGAUAUUAAUAUCGAGUAGAUCCAACAUACCUUCUGAAGGUAUGUCCCUUAUCAAUUUCUCUAGAUUCUCCAAAUAUACAGGAAUCCUUUCUCUUGAACUCUUCAAGGUCCCAUUGGAAGUCAUCAACUCAACCAAGGUGCAAUUAAUUUUAUUCAUGUGGUAGUUUGCUAUAAACUUCCAUAUGAAUUGAUAAGAGACUGUAAGAUCAAAUCCCUUCACAAUUCCUUAUAC